GAAAAGCCGGAAUAGCUCAGUUGGUAGAGCAGAGGACUGAAAAUCCUCGUGU
rnacentral:tRNA from 1 species